UACGUAGGGGGCAAGCGUUGUCCGGAAUCAUUGGGCGUAAAGAGCGUGUAGGCGGCCAGAUAAGUCCGCUGUGAAAUCUCGAGGCUCAACUUCGAGCUGUCGGUGGAAACCGUCUGGCUAGAGUCCGGAAGAGGAGUGUGGAAUUCCUGGUGUAGCGGUGAAAUGCGCAGAUAUCAGGAAGAACACCUAUGGCGAAGGCAGCACUCUGGGACGGUACUGACGCUGAGACGCGAAAGCGUGGGGAGCGAACAGG
rnacentral:rRNA from 1 species